UACGUAGGCAGCAAGCGUUGUUCGGAGUUACUGGGCGUAAGGGUGGUGUAGGCGGUUCUUUUAAGUUUGGUGUGAAAUCUCCCGGCUCAACUGGGAGGGUGCGCCGAAUACUGAGGGACUAGAGUACGGGAGAGGAAAGUGGAAUUCCUGGUGUAGCGGUGAAAUGCGUAGAUAUCAGGAGGAACACCGGUGGUGUAGACGGCUUUCUGGACCGUAACUGACGCUGAGACACGAAAGCGUGGGUAGCAAACAGG
rnacentral:rRNA from 1 species